GACGAACGCUGGCGGCGUGCUUAACACAUGCAAGUCGAGCGGAAAGGCUCCUUCGGGGGUACUCGAGCGGCGAACGGGUGAGUAACACGUGAGUAAUCUGCCCUUGGCUUUGGGAUAGCCACCGGAAACGGUGAUUAAUACCGGAUAUGACCACUUCUCGCAUGGGAUGGUGGUGGAAAGUUUUUCGGCCAGGGAUGUGCUCGCGGCCUAUCAGCUUGAUGGUGAGGUAAUGGCUCACCAUGGCUUCGACGGGUAGCCGGCCUGAGAGGGUGACCGGUCACACUGGGACUGAGACACGGCCCAGACUCCUACGGGAGGCAGCAGUGGGGAAUAUUGGACAAUGGGCGGAAGCCUGAUCCAGCAACGCCGCGUGAGGGAUGACGGCCUUCGGGUUGUAAACCUCUUUCGCCUAUGACGAAGCGUGAGUGACGGUAAUAGGUAAAGAAGCACCGGCCAACUACGUGCCAGCCGCCGCCGUAACAC
rnacentral:rRNA from 1 species